GACAAUAAAAUGACAAAAAUUCCAAGAAAUAACUUCUUAAAUUUAAUUUAAUACUCAACGAUAUUUAGCAAACAAUUCUUAUUGUUUCUCAAACAUUUUUUAGUUUAAAAUUAAUGUGUAAACAAAUAACAAAACCUUUUUAGAAGGGCAUCGAACCAAUCAAAGCCUAGACUUACCCCCAGAUUAUCAAAAAUUAAGAAGCUAGAAUAGGUAAUUGUAGUCUUUGCGUUGACAGUUCUACAUUCGACGACAAGUUCUUCAAGUAAUUACUUCCUGUCUUCUCACAAGCUAUUAAUUCAUCUAGUGCUUAAAUACUUCAUAAUUCAAGAUGCAGAGUCUUAAUUUAAUGUGUUUAUUAUUUGUAAUAAUCAACAUAAAUUUAAUUUUUGGGUUUCCUCCGUUUUCCAGUCACGGCCAUGAGUAUGAAGUAAAUUACUCCCAAGGAGGAAAACAUAUGAUAACAAUUAUAAAUGGUGCGAAAAAAGAAAUAAUAACUGCUGACGAGACAUUAAGCGGCUAUAACACCGAGUUUUUCACUGAUGAGAUUGAAAAGUUUCCAGAUUUAUUAACGUCUCUUGAAUACACGCUAGCUGACUUAAAAUUCUUGAACAAAGGAGACACGCAAUACUUCUACAUACCACCUUUGCCAAAUAAUGAUGACAGUAUUAAUGAAAAAGUAAAUUCAAAUAAUGAGAUUAAAUUUCCAUUAAAUUUUUACGACAAACAGAAUUUUGAGACUAAUAAAAUUUUAGAAUUACAAGAUAUGAUAGAUUUUAAAAAUUCUGAGGGAAAAGACAUAAUAAUAGAUUACGUCGAUGAUUAUUGGAGGCCUUCAUUAAACUUUGGAAAUUUUUAUGAUCGGAAAACUUUACAAGACGUCGUUCCAAUAUCAAAACGCGACACUUAUCAGAUUACUGCAUCUCCCGAAUUUGUUUUUGAAGAACCCGAUUAUACUAACUACAAUAAUUACAUGAAGCAAUUAGAAAUUGAUACACAAAAAGAAAAAUAAAAAUUGAAUAAUUUAGUUACGAAUGAGGAAGAAAAGUCUCAAAAAUUCGAAAAAAAUCCGAUUAAACCGAUAAUAGACAAAAGUUGUGAUGAUGGAAGAAAAAACUUGGAAGUUGAUUGGGACGGCUCUAAGGGUGAUUAAGAGUGCAAUGCUGAUGUUGAAAUACCAGCAAACCAUCGUCCUUCGACUUUGUACUGUGAUCCAUCAGCUUCAGUUGUACAGCCAAAAACUCGUUGUUUGAAUGAAACAUUAGAAUACAGCGAGUUAAUUCCUGUUAUUGGUGACUACCGUCCAAUUGCCCCGCAAUUAGGAGAGUACAAAUUUAUUCCUAAACAACGAUGGCUCAAUAGUUUAGACAAUGACGCAGUAGUGUUACUAUAUCAUCCGUAUGCUGAGAGAUCUGCAAUUAAUAAGCUGAGAUUACUGAUAAUGAAAUACUACGAACGUUAUAUUUUCACUCCAUACAACUUGGAACAAAUAGUGCCGUUCGCUAUAGUGGUCAAAGGAUGUCGUUUAGUAAUGUCACACGUGGUACCAAAUGAAGUGGCGCACUUUUUACAGAACCAUGGACCUAAAAAAGUACCAUUGGGAAAGCCAAAUGACAAAAAACCGAAAUAUAAUUUGGGACUGAUUGAAGAAAACCGACCUCAUCAUCUCUUUGGACUCAUUUAUCAAUUAUCAUAAUAAGUUUACAUGAUUCUAUUAUAAUAAUAAUAACUACAAUUAUUAUUAUCAUUA